rnacentral:guide_RNA from 1 species
AAUGCAAACCAAAGAACAUAUAGCAAGGAAGAUAGU